rnacentral:rRNA from 1 species
GGCGAGGGUAAACGGGCUCACCAAGGUGAUGAUGCAUAGCCGACCUGAGAGGGUAAUCGGCCACAUUGGGACUGAGACACGGCCCAAACUCCUACGGGAGGCAGCAGUAGGGAAUCUUCCGCAAUGGACGCAAGUCUGACGGAGCAACGCCGCGUGAGUGAAGAAGGUUUUCGGAUCGUAAACUCUGUUGUAAGAGAAGAACGAAUUGUAGAGUAACUGCUACAGUUCUUGACGGUAUCUUACCAGAAAGCCACGGCUAACUACGUGCCAGCAGCCGCGGUAAAU